GAAGGUGGCAAGCGUUAUUCGGAUUUACUGGGCGUACAGGGAGSGUAGGCGGUUCGGUAAGCCCUUUGUGAAAUCUCCAGGCUUAACCUGGAMCAGUCGGAGGGGACUGCCGGGCUAGAGGACGGGAGAGGAGCGCGGAAUUCCCGGUGUAGCGGUGAAAUGCGUAGAGAUCGGGMGGAAGGCCGGUGGSGAAGGCGGCGCUCUGGAACGUUUCUGACGSUGAGGCUSGAAAGCGUGGGGAGCAAACAGGAUUAGAUACCCUGGUAGUCCACGCCUUAAACUAUGAAUACUAAGUGUCGGCGGGUUMCCGCCGGUGCCGCAGCUAACGCAUUAAGUAUUCCGCCUGGGAAGUACGGCCGCAAGGU
rnacentral:rRNA from 1 species